UAAACAAUCCAGUCAUGUAGCUGGAAACAGCUAUAUGCCGGUCCCAAGCCCGGAUAAAUGGAGAGGGGUGA
rnacentral:ribozyme from 2 species